GUGUUUAAUACGAUACUAUAUAAAAAAUAUAGGAGUAUAUAGAUCUUUGUCACAUUGUAUGCGCGCCGCAUCAGACGGGAACCCUAAUUUCAACCACCUUCUCCACGCCUCCAUCGACGAAAAAUGGCCCGUUCUCAGGCGGUGGACGACACAAGGACUCCACUGAACCACAAAUCGGCGAAAACUCUGUGCGACGAAACCCAAAUUCCUCUACCUUCUAGCCGCCUCCUCCGUCGUAAACGGAGAAACAGAGGAGGAGGACGGUGACUACACUCCAUUAAACACCAAAUCGGUGACGGCUUCACACCGAUUGCAGUUUGAAUUUCCUUCACAAUCCGAAGUCACCGAAGGUUUUCUUUGAAACCUUACCACGUCGGCAGCAAAAGAACCUCUCCGAAACCAGGAAAAAGGAAUAGAUCUCAUAAUAUUGCAGCAGCUAUGAUUCUCUGCCACACACUUCAAAAUCGUGACAACAAUGGGAAAAGGAUGACAAAAUCAAAGCCGACAAAUCCAGAAAAUGGUGAUGAUGUACAUGGAUUGUAAAAAGAAGUGGCAGGAAAAGAACCAAGAAUGCAUAUAAACUGUAAAAUAAGGGACUGAUCUACAAAAAUAUCAAUCAAAGGAAGCAUGACUUUAAAAAAGAUGACAUGAGCAUGGAGGCAAUGGCAGAUUCAAGGAAUAUCAAAAGGAAUAAAUGAAACCCUAGAGAGAUAACAGCCGCCUCUAUCAUUGAAGGAAAUAGAGAGAGAAAUAAAACUUGCUCUCUCAAUAAAGGAGAAGGAGAAAGACACAGAUCUGGAGCAGCAGACUCUCACAUUGGAGGAAAAGGAGAGAGACACAAAUGUGGUGACUGCUGGUGUCUAAACAAUGAUUACAAAAGAGCACAGGUGUGAUCCACGUAUGAACACCUAUGGAUGGAACUCUAGCAUGAAACAAACCGUAGGAAGAGAGGAGUUAUACAAAAGGUAAUAGUACAUAUUUAUUCAGCUUCCUCAAAUAUUUUUCUGCCCAAAUCAACAGAGAUUGAGUAUUUAAAUAUGAAUCUGAUUAAGUGAGUCAUUAUAGCAGAAAAAUAAAUAUGAAUAAUUAGAGCUUAUUGCAAUGUUUUACAUGUGUGAGUUAGAUUAUAUAAAUUUCCAUAUAUAUGGUUAAAAAAACAACUCAACCCUAAUGAAAUAGGAUUUGGAUCCCCUGCUGUGCUGUGCACACAGGGGAUAAUAAAAAAAUAUUUUUUUUAUUAUUAAAAAAUUGUUUUGUGAGUGUGCACUGCAGUGCUGUGCACCGCAGGGGAUCCACCCCCAAUGAAAUAUUAGCCGCCUUUCACUAUGCAGGAAAAAGGAAAAGCAUACAUGACAUGUCAGACUUGGGGGGCUCAAAGCUAUUCUAUUUCAUCAUCACAUAACGGAAUAGGGACAAAUGGAUCAAUAUGAGCUUUGGAAAUAUGGGAAAAAUAUAUUGGUAAUAGAAAAUAGUAUAAAAUUACUACAACCUAUGUCGAUCCUACAAAAAGGGCUGUAAUCUAUCCCUCUCUCUCUAUAUAUAUAUAUAUCCCCAUCUCUCUCUCUAUCUCGGUCUCUCUCUAUAUCCAUCUUGCUAAUUUUUCAUGUUCUAUAAUUCUGAUUUUAUUAUAUAAGUUACUUAUUUUUAAUGCUGUAAAA